rnacentral:rRNA from 1 species
UACGUAGGGUGCGAGCGUUAAUCGGAAUUACUGGGCGUAAAGGGUGCGCAGGCGGUCUUGUAAGUCAGAUGUGAAAUCCCCGGGCUUAACCUGGGAAUUGCGUUUGAAACUGUGAGACUAGAGUGUAGCAGAGGGGGGUGGAAUUCCAUGUGUAGCAGUGAAAUGCGUAGAUAUGUGGAGGAAUACCGAUGGCGAAGGCAGCCCCCUGGGUCGACACUGACGCUCAUGCACGAAAGCGUGGGGAGCAAACAGG